rnacentral:rRNA from 1 species
CAGUAGCCGCGGUAAUACGGAGGGUGCAAGCGUUAAUCGGAAUUACUGGGCGUAAAGCGUGCGCAGGCGGUUAUAUAAGACAGAUGUGAAAUCCCCGGGCUCAACCUGGGAACUGCAUUUGUGACUGUAUAGCUAGAGUACGGCAGAGGGGGAUGGAAUUCCGCGUGUAGCAGUGAAAUGCGUAGAUAUGCGGAGGAACACCGAUGGCGAAGGCAAUCCCCUGGGCCUGUACUGACGCUCAUGCACGAAAGCGUGGGGAGCAAACAGGAUUAGAUACCCCUGUAGUCCCUGUCUCUUAUAC